rnacentral:rRNA from 1 species
GACGAACGCUGGCGGCGUGCUUAACACAUGCAAGUCGAACGGAAAGGCCCUGCUUUUGUGGGGUGCUCGAUUGGCGAACGGGUGAGUAACACGUGAGUAACCUGCCCUUGACUUUGGGAUAACUUCAGGAAACUGGGGCUAAUACCGGAUAGGAGCUCCUGCUGCAUGGUGGGGGUUGGAAAGAUUCGGCGGUUGGGGAUGGACUCGCGGCUUAUCAGCUUGUUGGUGGGGUAGUGGCGUACCAAGGCUUUGACGGGUAGCCGGCCUGAGAGGGUGACCGGCCACAUUGGUACUGAGAUACGGCCCAGUCUCCUACGGGAGGCAGCAGUGGGGAAUAUUGCACAAUGGGCGGAAGUCUGAUGCAGCAACGCCGCGUGCGGGAUGACGGCCUUCGGGUUGUAAACCGCUUUCGCCUGUGACGAAGCGUGAGUGACGGUAAUGGGUCAAGAAGCACCGGCUAACUACGUG